AUGUCUGAUUAUGUGUCGCGGGAUUAUAUAUUGGGGGCACUAGCUAGCAAAACAGUAAUUCUUGUAACCCAUCAAGUCGGGUUCAUACCAGCUGCUGACUUCAUACUGGUAAUAACAUUAUCCUUACAAUCGAAGCACUACUUUUUAGAGGCUAAUGCACAAGGUAUAUAUGCUGUUUCAAAUUUAUCAAGCAAGUUAAGUUGUUCAAUUCGAUGUGUUGUUUAUGCAUGUUUCCUGAUGAGAAUAAUACAACAGAUUCUGCAUGAAAGUUUUGCCAUCUUCUGUAGUAUUUCUCAUUAG
rnacentral:rRNA from 1 species